CAGCCGCCGCGGGAAUACAGAGGGUGCGAGCGUUAAUCGGAUUUACUGGGCGUAAAGCGUGCGUAGGCGGCUUCUUAAGUCGGAUGUGAAAUCCCUGAGCUUAACUUAGAAAUUGCAUUCGAUACUGGGAAGCUAGAGUAUGGGAGAGGAUGGUAGAAUUCCAGGUGUAGCGGUGAAAUGCGUAGAGAUCUGGAGGAAUACCGAUGGCGAAGGCAGCCAUCUGGCCUAAUACUGACGCUGAGGUACGAAAGCAUGGGGAGCAAACAGGAUUAGAUACCCGGGUAGUCCCUGUCUCUUAUAC
rnacentral:rRNA from 1 species